UUAAAUGGCCGCGGUAUUCUAACCGUGCAAAGGUAGCAUAAUCACUUGUUUACUAAAUAUAGACUUGUAUGAAUGGCACCACGAGGGCUACACUGUCUCCCCCAUUUAAUCAGUAAAACUGAUCUCCCCGUGAAGAAGCGGGGAUUAAAAUAUAAGACGAGAAGACCCCAUGGAGCUUUAAACCUAGAACCAACUGCUAAUCUGACACCAUAAUAUUCUGCAGCUAUGACUCAAAGUUUUCGGUUGGGGCGACCACGGAGCACAACAAAACCUCCACGAUGAAUAAAUAUAAAAUUUUUACCCAAGAACCACACUACAAAGGACCACUAAUGUGUCAUCCAUUGACCCAAACACUUGAUCAACGAACCUAGUUACCCUGGGGAUAACAGCGCAAUCCAUUUCAAGAGCUCAUAUCGACAAAUGGGUUUACGACCUCGA
rnacentral:rRNA from 1 species